rnacentral:rRNA from 1 species
AGUCGACGGCAGCACGGGAGCAAUCCUGGUGGCGAGUGGCGAACGGGUGAGUAAUGUAUCGGAACGUACCUUUCAGUGGGGGAUAACGUAGCGAAAGUUACGCUAAUACCGCAUAUUCUGUGAGCAGGAAAGCAGGGGAUCGCAAGACCUUGCGCUGAUUGAGCGGCCGAUAUCAGAUUAGCUAGUUGGUGAGGUAAAGGCUCACCAAGGCGACGAUCUGUAGCGGGUCUGAGAGGAUGAUCCGCCACACUGGAACUGAGACACGGUCCAGACUCCUACGGGAGGCAGCAGUGGGGAAUUUUGGACAAUGGGGGCAACCCUGAUCCAGCCAUGCCGCGUGAGUGAAGAAGGCCUUCGGGUUGUAAAGCUCUUUCAGCCGGGAAGAAAUCACAUGGGUUAAUACCCUGUGUGGAUGACGGUACCGGAAUAAGAAGCACCGGCUAACUACGUGCCAGCAGCCGCGGUAAUACGUAGGGUGCGAGCGUUAAUCGGAAUUACUGGGCGUAAAGCGUGCGCAGGCGGUUUGUUAAGAUAGGCGUGAAAUCCCCGGGCUCAACCUGGGAACUGCGUUUAUGACUGGCAGGCUAGAGUAUGGCAGAGGGGGGUGGAAUUCCACGUGUAGCAGUGAAAUGCGUAGAGAUGUGGAGGAACACCGAUGGCGAAGGCAGCCCCCUGGGCCAAUACUGACGCUCAUGCACGAAAGC